UACGGCUCGGCCUCGCCGGCGCUGCCGAGGCUGUGCGGGUGUCUGCACGCCGGCGGGUGGCCGAGGCUGUGCGGGUGUCUGCACGCCGGCGACCCACCAGGACGCCGCUGCGAGCAACGGAGUUUGGCUGGGGCGUAUCGACGAUGCGGAGCUUCUCGCCCCCAAGCAUAGCAACGUCGACGCCAUAGUAUAUUGUUCUGCACCCAAAGGCAAAGGAGGAGGACUACAUGACAGACAAGCUGGAGUACCCAGAGACAACUGAGACAUGUCUCGGAGCAUAAGUUGCGCAGUGGAUUUCCUAUCACUGGACUAUUGAAAACAAGUUUGAGAGCGUCUUUUGUAGCUGUUAAGUGUGCUGUAUGGUGCGGUGGCGGCGAUGCUUGGGACCUCUCCGUCCGAUGGAGGAUGCCAAGCGGCUUGUCAUCAGAAACCCAUCAUCACACGAUAGACGGCCAUGAGGAGGGCCAGGCGGCGGUGCCGGCGAGGAGAGGACGAGCUGGCGUUCCAGCUUGUUAAUUUUGCUGUGUAAGGAAGGGUGGGGUGGCGAAGGUCGUGGAAAGAUUUGAACUGCUACUGGUAAAUAGUAGAGUAGCUUGACAAUAUAUUGACUACUAGUCCCACCGCAAAAAGAAAAGAAAAGAAACGAAAUCCAAUAGUAGAGCAUUAUUAGUAAUACAAAAAGGAGUAGGACUAAAUGAUAGACAAGCUGGAGUACCCAGAGACAACCGAGACAUGCCUCGGAGCAUAAGUUGCGCAGUGGAUUUCCUAUCACUGGACUGUUGAAAACAGUUUGAGAGCGUCUUUUGUAGCUGUUAAGAGGUGCUGUAUGGUGCGGUGGCGGCAAUGCUCGGGAUCUCUCCGGUGAGCUCCUGAUCCUCCCUUUGAUCUCUGGCUCCCUUGUGAUCUGCUGAUAGUAGGACAUCUAGGCGCUGUGGUUGUUAUGUGCUUGGGUGAAUAAGCUGAUGAUGUAAUUAUAUUGUGAGCAUGAAGUUGCUUCUUUGGUUUGCGUUUGUUAAGUAUAGAUUGCACUUUUUAUCUCGUGUAUGCAUCUUAAAGAUCCUUGCAUUCUUUUGUUUGUAUUAUUAUACAUG